UUUCUAUUGAAGGAUUGAUUUUUUCCUUUUUCCAAAGGAAAAAGAGUAGAGGACGAAUUAGACAAUUACCAACCGUACUUUUUAAGCAAGUCCCUAGUUCUUUUCCUUGAGCGCGUAAAAACGAUAACGACACAAGCUAGAAUCCAAGGAGGGAAGUUCCCGGUGAUAUUAAAUUUCUUCAUCCACCCUUGUGAGUCUUGAGAGAGAAACGUUAUCAAAAUGGUUAUAAUUGCCACGCCAAAAAUGAUCCUGGUUACUGGUUUGAUAAGGGAAUCCUUAGGCUCUCCGUCAAUGAAAAUUUCGGCUCCAUCUCUGUAAGUCAGAAUAGACCUGCCAUUUCUAGGGUUGAAUCGAAUCGGAACGCCACGACCGGAGUCAGGUUUAAAGGCGAAUACGGACUUGAACCCGUAUUUGUCCAGAAUAUCUCGGACCUCAAGUUGGUCUUGAUCCCAACCCCCAAGGCUUGAUUUAAACACAUCAAUCGGACCUUUG
rnacentral:misc_RNA from 1 species